GUGCAGGAUGANUGCCCUAUGGGUUGUAAACUGCUUUUGUCCAGGAAUAAACCUAGAUACGUGUAUCUAGCUGAAUGUACUGGAANAAUAANGAUCGGCUAACUCCGUGCCAGCAGCCGCGGUAAUACGGAGGAUCCGAGCGUUAUCCGGAUUUAUUGGGUUUAAAGGGUGCGUAGGCGGCCUAUUAAGUCAGGGGUGAAAUACGGUGGCUCAACCAUCGCAGUGCCUUUGAUACUGAUGGGCUUGAAUCCAUUUGAAGUGGGCGGAAUAAGACAAGUAGCGGUGAAAUGCAUAGAUAUGUCUUAGAACUCCGAUUGCGAAGGCAGCUCACUAAGCUGGUAUUGACGCUGAUGCACGAAAGCGUGGGGANCGAACAGGAUUANAUACCCUGGUAGUCCACGCCCUAAACGAUGANAACUCGAUGUUGGCGAUAGACAGCCAGCGUCCAAGCGAAAGCGUUAAGUUAUCCACCUGGGGAGUACGCCCG
rnacentral:rRNA from 1 species